rnacentral:rRNA from 1 species
UUUGAUCCUGGCUCAGGACGAACGCUGGCGGCGUGCCUAAUACAUGCAAGUCGAACGCUUCUUUCCUCCCGAGUGCUUGCACUCAAUUGGAAAGAGGAGUGGCGGACGGGUGAGUAACACGUGGGUAACCUACCCAUCAGAGGGGGGAUAACACUUGGAAACAGGUGCUAAUACCGCAUAACAGUUUAUGCCGCAUGGCAUAAGAGUGAAAGGCGCUUUCGGGUGUCGCUGAUGGAUGGACCCGCGGUGCAUUAGCUAGUUGGUGAGGUAACGGCUCACCAAGGCCACGAUGCAUAGCCGACCUGAGAGGGUGAUCGGCCACACUGGGACUGAGACACGGCCCAGACUCCUACGGGAGGCAGCAGUAGGGAAUCUUCGGCAAUGGACGAAAGUCUGACCGAGCAACGCCGCGUGAGUGAAGAAGGUUUUCGGAUCGUAAAACUCUGUUGUUAGAGAAGAACAAGGACGUUAGUAACUGAACGUCCCCUGACGGUAUCUAACCAGAAAGCCACGGCUAACUACGUGCCCAGCAGCCGCGGUAAUACGU